rnacentral:rRNA from 1 species
UACGUAGGGGGCAAGCGUUGUCCGGAUUCAUUGGGCGUAAAGAGCUCGUAGGCGGUUCGGCAAGUCGGGUGUGAAAACUCCAGGCUCAACCUGGAGACGCCACCCGAUACUGCUGUGACUUGAGUCCGGUAGGGGACCACGGAAUUCCUGGUGUAGCGGUGAAAUGCGCAGAUAUCAGGAGGAACACCGGUGGCGAAGGCGGUGGUCUGGGCCGGCACUGACGCUGAUGAGCGAAAGCCAGGGGAGCAAACGGG